AAUAUGUCGCAAUGGAGGAAACUCUGACGCAGCGACGCCGCUUGAGCGAUGAAGGACUUCGGAUCGUAACUCUCUGUCUUUUGUGAAGAAGGUAUUCGGACUUUACGGUACCCAUGGAGGAAGCCCCGGCUAACUAUGUGCCAGCAGCCGCGGUAAUACGUAGGGGGCAAGCGUUGUCCGGAAUUAUUGGGCGUAAAGGGUGCGUAGGCGGCCUUGUAAGUCAGAUGUGAAAGAUCAUGGCUUAACUGUGGUAAGCAUUUGAAACUGCAGGGCUUGAGUACAGGAGAGGAGAGUGGAAUUCCUAGUGUAGCGGUGAAAUGCGUAGAUAUUAGGAGGAAUACCAGUGGCGAAGGCGACUCUCUGGACUGAUACUGACGCUGAGGCACGAAAGCGUGGGGAGCAAACA
rnacentral:rRNA from 1 species